UAAAUGUUCUGAUGUUAAAGUUUUUCUUAUUAAGAAAAGGGAAAUCUGGGUGUGAAUCCCAAGCUGUCCCGCAACCGUUAAAGCCGGAAUGCCUUCUCUUGAUGAAUUUAGGGUC
rnacentral:ncRNA from 24 species